AGAUACGAAUUAUGUUGAAGCUUCGGCUCAAGACUGUGCUUCUCAUCUCCUCUUCCAAAUCUGUACCUCAUCCGCUUUCUCUGAGUUUUAUGUUCGAAAAUGAUAUUGCUACACAAGAAACUAAGAAUCGCAUCAUUAAUGUAUUAAGGCAUCUUCAGCAAACGUUACCAUCAGCCACCUUGGAAUCAGCAUUGACAUAUCUUUUGCCUCGGCAGGAGAUGGAAUUGAAAUCCAUUCUAUCACUUGAAGAAGAUGCUGACUUUUAAUCAGUGCAAUGAAUCUACUAGUCCGAGGGUCAAACAUCGUUUAUUUGAAGUGAUUUUCUGUAUUGCUCUACUUAACCGGGAAACGGUAUGAAGCAUGAACACUAAACAUGGAAAUUUAUGUUUGUUUUGUGUGUGUAUAAGUGUAGCAUGUGUUUAAUAAAGUAAGUCCUUGCCUCAAUAUGGAAAUAGGUGUAGGUUAAUGCUUUUGAGAAUCUGUUAUUCAGAUAGCUUUUGGUGAACCACACCCGGCGUGGUCUAGUGGUCAAAUAUUGGAGAGCAAUGUUCAAAUCCCAGUACAAACAAACAAAUGCUGGGUCAUUACUUCCCAUCUCCUAGCCUUGGUGGGCAAAAGAUUACCAUGUACUUGGGUUGAUAGGAGGUAGCAGGUAGCCAAUGUAACUAUUGAAUUGACUUGCGCAAGUUUGGCUCAAACACCACCAUUAUUUAAAAAAGAAAGCAUUGACUGAACCAACUUCUGAUUGCUUUAUUCUCAUUUGUAAAUUAAUGUAUAAUUUAUACAUAUGCUAUAAGUUUUUUAAGACAAAUACAGAGUUCGAACCAAAACUACUGCGUUCGACCGAAUUCGCUCUCAGCAUUCUAGCUCUGCCGCUGCUUGUAAGUUGCCGGUCCUCCUUAAUACUGCUCUUAGACAUGGAGAUUAAAAA